UCUACGCGGCGACGAGUCAUCGGACGUGGAACCCAGCGUGGAAUAGAAACCGUUCCGGUGAGAGAAAAAUGGGAGGGGAAAAAGGGAAAUUUCUAGCGCAGCGCAAAAUCCCAAAUCCCCAUCUCUUGGCGAGCGGCGACUGAGAGAAGGUUCUCCUCGUCGGCGGCGACGGGUCCAGCUCUUCGUCGGCAUCGGCGGCGCGGCUAGAGGCAGGCGACGGCUCAGGUACCUUUGGUCGCAGGCGGCGGCGCGGCAGGCUGCCGGACGCAAGCGGUGGCACGCCGGUACGGCUAGCUGUUGGUCGCAAGUGGCGGCGCAGCUACCUCUCAGCCGCAGAAGGCCUCGCGGCAAGCUAUUCGUCCGAGAAGUGGCAACCCGCACAACAUCGUUCUACCCUCGACAUGACAAGCGAGUCCCGCCCGUAGACUCUCUCUCUCUCUGCAGUCUUGGAGCCAUCUCAUGUGUGUAUCUAUGCAGUAUGAAUGAACAUAUAUGCCUCUAUGCAUCAGAGCGUGGUGAAUGUGGGGACAUUCGGAUAUGCAGGUAUACUGAAGAAGCCACAGCAGGUCUGAAUCUUGCCGUGAUGCAACUAAACAAUCCUAUAAUCUUGGAGCUGGAUAGCACAACCUUGUCUUCAGCUGUAAAUAACAAGUGUCGGAAAUUCUCAAGAAUUUAGGCCAUCUACAAAAAGAUAAAAAAUCUGAAGACAAAACAGCAGUCCAUAACUUGGGAGUUCUGGGAGAACUAGGAACAUUGGUGUUUGCUUUGGCCAGUAUACCAGGAACUCACCGAACUGGUUGUAACCGGCACAUUGUAAACUCUGGUCUUGUGAAGCAAUAAACUAAUGUACACGGCUUUUAAGUUCUUGAUAUUUUUAAGGAGUGUAAAGCUUGCCCUUCCAAAUUGUAUGUUGUGAUCUAGAAUCAUGAAUAAGAAACAUGUUCGCCGGGAACUUCGUUUA